AUGGAGACCAGACGGCCCGCAGGCCGUGCAGGCGGCGCGUUUGCGGGCCCUUCGGCGGGCGUCCACGCAGGGGCGCCCCGGAGCACCUGCCUGAGGGCUGCGGAGAGCGUGGUCCCGGCCCACAGGUGGCCGCCUCCUCCACGCCACCCCUCCACGCGCCGCUGGGUGCAGAGGCGCGGCGACUCGGCUGGAGCAAGCAGCUGGCUUGCGGGGCAUCGCACCCCGGCCCGGGCUCUCAGCCUCCCCACUAGCUGGCGGGGCCCGGACUGGCUCCUGAAGUUCCCCCGGCUUCAGAUUCUUCAGCCGCAGUGUUGGGAUGAUCUCAGUGCUCUCUGCAAGUAUUAUAGUGGAUUGCAAAUAAAUGCUCUGAUUGCUUCCAUCUACUCAGAACUCAAAAGAGUUAGUAACGUGAAUGAGAAUGUUGGUCAACAGAAACACUCAAUAAGAAAAGUUGGCUGUUACUCAACGAGCAAUGGAGAGUGUCAUAUGCAAAGUUUCCCUUUGUGAGCAUAUUUCAAAUAAAGAAAUCUGGAAGUGUCUGUGAUGAAAAUUG
rnacentral:lncRNA from 1 species